rnacentral:rRNA from 1 species
GGGUUGGUGACGGUACCUGCAGAAGAAGCGCCGGCUAACUACGUGCCAGCAGCCGCGGUAAUACGUAGGGCGCAAGCGUUAUCCGGAAUUAUUGGGCGUAAAGAGCUCGUAGGCGGUUUGUCGCGUCUGCCGUGAAAGUCCGGGGCUUAACCCCGGAUCUGCGGUGGGUACGGGCAGACUAGAGUGCAGUAGGGGAGACUGGAAUUCCUGGUGUAGCGGUGAAAUGCGCAGAUAUCAGGAGGAACACCGAUGGCGAAGGCAGGUCUCUGGGCUGUAACUGACGCUGAGGAGCGAAAGCAUGGGGAGCGAACAGGAUUAGAUACCCUGGUAGUCCAUGCCGUAAACGUUGGGCACUAGGUGUGGGGGACAUUCCACGUUUUCCGCGCCGUAGCUAACGCAUUAAGUGCCCCGCCUGGGGAGUACGGCCGCAAGGCUAAAACUCAAAGGAAUUGACGGGGGCCCGCACAAGCGGCGGAGCAUGCGGAUUAAUUCGAUGCAACGCGAAGAACCUUACCAAGGCUUGACAUGAACCGGAAUGAUGCAGAGAUGUGUCAGCCACUUGUGGCCGGUUUACAGGUGGUGCAUGGUGUCGUCAAGCUCGUGUCGUGAG